rnacentral:lncRNA from 10 species
AGCGGCAGCCACGAGCAGGGCGCCGUCCAGGCCCGCGCCGCCGGCCGCCAGCAGCUCCAGCACCGCCAGCCGCCCGCCCGCGGCCGCCCAGUGCGCCGCCGUCCAGCCGCGCGCGUCCUCCGCCUCCGCUGCCGCGGGUCCCGGGCCCGGAGCCUCCAGCAGGCGCGCGGCCAGCAGCGUGUGGCCCAGGGCAGCGGCCCAGUGCAGCGGCGUGAGGCCCGUCCCGGAGCGAGCCGCCGCCGAGGCCCCGCGCUGCAGCAGCAGCUCGGCCACCCGCGAGUGUCCGUGCCAGGCGGCCUCGUGCAGCGCGGUGCGCCCCGCCCGGUCCACCGCGCCCACCGGGGCCCCUCGCUGCAGCAGGAGACGCACCAGGGGCGCGUGGCCCCGCAGCACGGCCAGAAGGAAAGCUCCGUAAGGCUGACCGGGAAAGAAGCGAGGAGCUCUGGGGGCUGGGUGGAAAGUCCCGUACUCAUCAGGGCCAGGGAGGCCACAGAAACUACCUCACGCCAGCUUCCCAGGGGUACAGCGGCUAGAAUGGACCUCGAGGAGGCCCCUCCCAAGACUCCCGUCUCCCGGGUUCCACCGCAGUGGGGGCAGCCACAGCUGCCUCUGCAAUGCUUGU